rnacentral:tRNA from 1 species
GGCAGACUGUAAAUCUGUUGGCAGUGCCUUCACUGGUUCGAAUCCAGUCCUCUCCACCA